UUGCUCGGCAACGGCCUGGUCUGUGCCAAGUGUUUGCUGACGCAACCCCCACUGGCUGGGGCUUGGCCAUAGGCCAUCAGCGCAUGCGUGGAACCUUUGUGGCUCCUCUGCCGAUCCAUACUGCGGAACUCCUAGCCGCUUGUUUUGCUCGCAGCCGGUCUGGAGCAAAGCUCAUCGGAACUGACAAUUCUGUCGUCCUCUCGCGGAAAUAUACAUCGUUUCCAUGGCUGCUAGGCUGUACUGCCAACUGGAUCCUUCG
rfam:Hepatitis B virus isolate AH2, complete genome.